rnacentral:rRNA from 1 species
AUGCCCCAGUUUAGUGGGUACCAUAGGAGGCUUUAUAUGUUAGAUGACCAUAGAGCUGCUAUCGAUCUCAAGUGGGCCCUGACUUGUUUUGAGCUAAUCUCUGGCAUGUCCAUCAAUUAUCAUAAGAGUGAAUUAGUCCCCAUUAACUUGGAGGAAGUAGAGAUCCAAGUUUUCCUAGAUAUUUUCAAUUGCAUCAAAGGGAAAUUCCCUAUCAAGUAUUUGGGGAUACCCUUGCACUUUGACAAGCUUAGGAGGGAAGAUUUACAACCCCUUGUUGAUGCUCUUCUGUCUAGGAUGGCUGGUUGGAGGGGUAAAUUAUUAUCCCUGUUAGGUAGAGUGACUUUGGUGAAAACCUGUCUAGCCAGCAUACCUAUAUAUAUGCUAUCCUUUUUUAAAUUCCCCAAUGGGCUAUUAAUUUGA